UAGCGCUAGCGUUAUGCAGCAGAAAUAGUCGGUGUCGGGGGGAGGUAAAACGGAUUGCCGUAAGUUGAUAGCUGGUUUAUUUCCAAUAGGAUUGGUAAUAUUUAUUAUAUCUGACAUUGGCUUGAAAGCUUCCAUAAAUUCCAACGUAUUGGAGAAAGGAUGUAAUAAGGCAUACAUGUCAGAAACAAGUUGACUAAGAAUUUCCAUCUUUAUGGUGUGGAUUUCAUAUAAGGGUUAAGUGCAACGUGCUAGGGUUGUGCAAAACAGGUUUGUUUGCACAGGUAUUAUGCUGAAGACAGGAAAACUGAACUGUUAAAUGCAAAUUGGUCUGGACAUCCUAAGAAGGCAAAGUAAUCUUUCCAUUAUGUAGACUUACAAAUGCUGAAUCAUGUAAACUGACCAACUUAAAGUGUUACAUCUGCUCAACCUAUGGUAAAAACUUAAUUGUCACACCAGCUACUCAGCGAUAAUGUGGCACCAACACUUAGUCACUAUUAGUGAAAGAACUAAAUGACAGCAAUAUAGAUAUAUGAAAGUAAUGGAAUUUAUAAAAAUUGACAAUUACAUUGAUUCUACAUUGAUGAGUAGGUUCAAGAAGGAACUUUUAUGACUGUGUACAUCAAUGUGGUAAAGUGUUAAAAAAAUAAUGAGUCUAACCAAAAAUAGUUAUGUCCUAAAACUGCACUAUAAAUUAGAUUUCAUGUACGAAGAAAUGUUAAAUUGAAUUGAUUCAAUUCAGUUAUAAUUAAGGACAAUUGAUCAAAUCAGUUAAUCAGGUGUAUGAACAAAAUACACUAUUUACAAUUUGA